rnacentral:rRNA from 1 species
UACGAAGGGGGCUAGCGUUGCUCGGAAUCACUGGGCGUAAAGGGUGCGUAGGCGGGUCUUUAAGUCAGGGGUGAAAUCCUGGAGCUCAACUCCAGACUGCCUUUGAUACUGAGGAUCUUGAGUCCGGGAGAGGUGAGUGGAACUGGCGAGUGUAGAGGUGAAAAUUCGUAGAUAUUCGCAAGAACACCAGUGGCGAAGGCGGCUCACUGGCCCGGUACUGACGCUGAGGC